CUGCAGCCAGUUAAGCUAACAGGGCUUCUUUUGCCUGGAGAGGUCCAGUGCACAGUGGCUACCCCUGGGUAGAAUGUGGAGCCUGUUGCUUCUGUGGGUCACUCUGAGAUACCUAGGAGAACAGCU
rnacentral:snoRNA from 1 species